GACGAACGCUGGCGGCGUGCUUAACACAUGCAAGUCGAACGGAAAGGCCUUUUCGGAGGUACUCGAGUGGCGAACGGGUGAGUAACACGUGGGUGAUCUGCCCUGCACUCUGGGAUAAGCCUGGGAAACUGGGUCUAAUACCGGAUAGGACCGCACUUUAGUGUGUGUGGUGGAGAGUUUUUUCGGUGUAGGAUGAGCCCGCGGCCUAUCAGCUUGUUGGUGGGGUAAUGGCCUACCAAGGCGGCGACGGGUAGCCGGACUGAGAGGUUGGCCGGCCACAUUGGGACUGAGAUACGGCCCAGACUCCUACGGGAGGCAGCAGUGGGGAAUAUUGCACAAUGGGCGCAAGCCUGAUGCAGCGACGCCGCGUGGGGGAUGACGGCCUUCGGGUUGUAAACUCCUUUCGCCAGGGACGAAGCGUUUUGUGACGGUACCUGGAGAAGAAGCACCGGCUAACUACGUG
rnacentral:rRNA from 1 species